AACGAACGCUGGCGGCAUGCCUAACACAUGCAAGUCGAACGAUUGCCUUCGGGUGAUAGUGGCGCACGGGUGCGUAACGCGUUGGAAUCUGCCCUUAGGUUCGGAAUAACAGCUGGAAACGGCUGCUAAUACCGGAUGAUAUCGCGAGAUCAAAGAUUUAUCGCCUGAGGAUGAGCCCGCGUUGGAUUAGGUAGUUGGUGGGGUAAAGGCCUACCAAGCCGACGAUCCAUAGCUGGACUGAGAGGAUGAUCAGCCACACUGUGACUGAGACACGGCCCAGACUCCUACGGGAGGCAGCAGUGGGGAAUAUUGGAAAAUGGGCGCAAGCAUGAUCCAGUAAUGCCGCGUGAGUGAUGAAGGCACUAGGGUUGUAAAGCUCUUUUACACGGGAAGAUAAUGACUGUACCGGGAGAAUAAGCCCCGGCUAACUCCGUG
rnacentral:rRNA from 1 species